rnacentral:lncRNA from 1 species
AGUGAAUAUCACUUUUCCUUUCAUGUUUUUUCUACAUGCUAUUAUCUGUAUGAAAUGAAGACCAAGAAAGGAUGGGAAGAAGGAGAAGAAAAAUUUUGAUUUAUCUCAGAAACUAUACUCCGAAGUGAGAGUCCUGGUUGCAGCAUCCUUCACCGAAGCACGAAGCAGAAUCAAGCUGUUGCCAUGAAGCUUGUUUCAAGAGCUCAGAAAUACUCCAGGGACUCCUUUACUACUGCUUUUCAAAGAGGCCUUUUUUUCUCUCUUCUCCUUUUCCUGCAAAGAGGGUUAUAUCCAGUGCUCAAGGACAUGGGAUUAUCAGCCUAAGGCAUGAGUACAUGCUGUGGAAACAGAAAUAUGUAUGAAGGGAUGUAUGAAACCACAGAAUAAAUGGAAUCCACAUUCUUGAAGUAGCUACAACUCUACUUGAGGUCCCAAGGCACGUAGAUAGUACCUAUACAUCUCAUCAGGAACAUGGAUGGUUCUCUGCUAUCAGCUGAAGUGCUGUGACCACAAAACUGAAAAUUCCCAUUCUGUGUCCUUGCCAAUAAAGAAUGUCCAUCAGAGCACGCCCAGUAUCCUAGCUCCUUAUCCAGACUGUGCUUCUCAAUGUGACAAGGAAGACUGCAACCCUAUUUGCUUCUGAUAACCUUCCUAUGACUAAGUCUUCUCUGGUUGAGAUUCCUGGGGAGGACACUCAUGACAAUUGUGGUUUUUGGAGGAUCUAUCUUUAGGCAGCUAAAAGGAAGUUCAGAGAAAGCCCCUUCCUAUACUUCGCAGGAGAAAAAAGAGCAAAGGACAAUCUAACUGGCUGAAUGAGAGGAGCGGGAAGAAGAAAGGGCCAAAAGAUGACAGAAAAUAGGGGAAGGUUAGAAUGCCAUCCUUCUGGAACACCCUGAGAAGUCCAGUUUUUCAGACUCCUUCCUGCUGAGGACUCAACCUAUUCUUCAAAUGAUGGGUUUUUGGAUUGAGAACUGCCUGAGAACUGCAAUAUGUGCCGGGAUCUUGAUUUUCUAUCUGGGACAAAAGACUGAGACUGGGCCUCAUUCUUCUCUUUGUUCAUUCUUGAUUUCUUUGGAUUAUAUAUUAUAUUAAACAACAUUAUCAUUGGC